UCUACCGGAAUGACAACCUUCCACUCUGCCGUUGCGAAAAAGGGCACGUCGAUGAUGUCGCUGACUACCUUCCAGGUGAUCGAGCGAUCGCAGCAGCACCAAAUGCUAUUGAAUGUGUUUAUUGUUGAUAGUUCACUUGCGGGAGUUCACAACAUUAGUAAACAAGUGUUAAAAUCGCACACACGCAGGCACAAAUUUCACAAACUUUUCGGAAGGGGAGAAAAACCGAGCACCGUGCGUGCGUGACCGUGUCCAAACUUUACACCGCGCUGGACGAAAUCGAUUGGCGCAAAGCAGCGUGAGCCCCAACAUACAAUCAGCGAUAGACUACUUUCACUCGUACUUCAGAGCGAUGAUCAUCCACCGAUCGGCAUCGACAACAAACAAAAAAGCGGGUAACACACUUCUAAAUUAAACACCCUGCUGGAUAUUGACUCACUUGUUUAUGGUGCUAAGCGAUCGCGAGAACACCAAAACUGCACCUAACUUCGCGCACACGUGAAGAUCGAACGCAACAACACAACAAAACGCGCUACUUAGUGCUAAGAUACCACGGGCCGCGGCGGACAACGUAAAUCACGGUUCCCCGAAUGCCCGGUGCGAUUUACAGGGUGGACCGGAUUUGUUGAGCGGAUAACACCCUAAUUGUAGGGUGUUAUUUAAAAAAAUAAAUCUCUUUUAUGGACUCUCUAGAAAUGAGGAUAAUGUUUGGGAUAUGUUGAAAUAAUAGAGAAUAUUUUA